UACGGAGAAUCCGAGCGUUAUCCGGAUUUAUUGGGUUUAAAGGGUGCGUAGGCGGGAGAUUAAGUCGGUCGUGAAAUUUUGCAGCUCAACUGUAAAAGUGCCAUUGAUACUGGUUUCCUUGAGUGUGGAUGAAGUAGGCGGAAUUUGUGGUGUAGCGGUGAAAUGCAUAGAUAUCACGAGGAACUCCGAUUGCGCAGGCAGCUUACUAAACCAUAACUGACGCUCAGGCACGAAGGCGUGGGGAUCAAACAGGAUUAGAUACCCU
rnacentral:rRNA from 1 species